ACAGUACAAACUGAGCAGACCGUGACGAAUUGUCAUGGAGUCCGGUCACAGCGGUGACAGUGGAAUCUAUCAUCCACGGGACAGU
rnacentral:ncRNA from 1 species